rnacentral:rRNA from 1 species
UACGGAGGGUGCGAGCGUUAAUCGGAAUUACUGGGCGUAAAGCGUGCGUAGGCGGCUCGUUAAGUCAGAUGUGAAAGCCCCGGGCUUAACCUGGGAACGGCAUUUGAAACUGGCGAGCUAGAGUUGAGUAGAGGGGAGUGGAAUUUCAGGUGUAGCGGUGAAAUGCGUAGAUAUCUGAAGGAACACCAGUGGCGAAGGCGACUCCCUGGACUCAAACUGACGCUGAGGUACGAAAGCGUGGGUAGCAAACAGG